rnacentral:rRNA from 1 species
AUACGUAGGUGGCGAGCGUUGUCCGGAUUUACUGGGUGUAAAGGGCGAGUAGGCGGGUAAACAAGUCAGAUGUGAAAUACCGAGGCUCAACUUCGGGGCUGCAUUUGAAAAUGUUUAUCUUGAGUGAUGGAGAGGCAGGGGGGAUUCCCAGUGUUUCGGUAAAAAGCAUAGAGAUUGGGAGGAACACCAGUGGCGAAGGCGGCCUGCUGGACAUCAACUGACGCUGAGGAGCGAAAGUGUGGGGAGCAAACAGGAUUAGAUACCCUGGUAGUCCACACCGUAAACGAUGGAUACUAGGUGUGCGGGGACUGACCCCCUGCGUGCCGGAGUUAACACAUUAAGUAUCCCACCUGGGGAGUACGAUCGCAAGAUUGAAACUCAAAUGAAUUGACGGGG